rnacentral:tRNA from 1 species
GGGCUCAUCGGUGCGGUUGCCAAGGGCCAGCAGUUCAGGCCUGCCGAGCGCUUCGUAGAUGUCGCGGAGCGUGACCGCGCUGAGAUCGC